AUGAAACACCGGUUCCCAUAUAAUCACCCAACUUAAGCAACGUUGAGCCUGGUCAGUACCUAGAUGGGUGACCGCUUAGGAAAAUCAGGUGCCGUAAG